UACGAAGGGUGCAAGCGUUACUCGGAAUUACUGGGCGUAAAGCGUGCGUAGGCGGUGUUCCAAGUCUGUUGUGAAAUCUCCCGGCUUAACUGGGAGGGUGCAGCGGAAACUGGGACGCUGGAGUGCGGGAGAGGUAAGCGGAAUUCCUGGUGUAGCGGUGAAAUGCGUAGAUAUCAGGAGGAACACCUGCGGUGUAGACGGCUUACUGGACCGUAACUGACGCUGAGGCACGAAAGCGUGGGUAGCAAACAGG
rnacentral:rRNA from 1 species